ACAUCCAUCGUAUAGGGGUUAGUAUACAUGCUUUCCAUUGAAUUCAACCAUUUGAAUACAAUAUCGCUUGGGACAGGGGUUCGAGUCCCCUUGGAUGUA